UACGUAGGGUGCAAGCGUUGUCCGGAAUUAUUGGGCGUAAAGAGCUUGUAGGCGGUUUGUCGCGUCUGCUGUGAAAUUUCGGGGCUCAACCCCGAACUUGCAGUGGGUACGGGCAGACUAGAGUGUGGUAGGGGAGACUGGAAUUCCAGGUGUAGCGGUGAAAUGCGUAGAUAUCUGGAGGAACACCGGUGGCGAAGGCGGGUCUCUGGGCCGUAACUGACGCUGAGGAGCGAAAGCAUGGGGAGCGAACAGG
rnacentral:rRNA from 1 species